CCUACGGGUGGCAGCAGUGAGGAAUAUUGUUCAAUGGGCGCGAGCCUGAACCAGCCAAGUAGCGUGAAGGAUGACUGCCCUACGUGUUGUAAACUUCUUUUAUCACGGAAUACAGUGAGGCACGUGUGCCUUUUUGAAUGUACUUUAUGAAUAAGGAUCGGCUAACUCCGUGCCAGCAGCCGCGGUAAUACGGAGGAUCCGAGCGUUAUCCGGAUUUAUUGGGUUUAAAGGGAGCGUAGAUGGGUUGUUAAGUCCGUUGUGAAAGGCUGCGGCUCAAACGUAAAAUUGCAAUUGAUACUGGCAGCCUUGAGUACGGGUGAGGUAGGCGGAAUGCGUGGUGUAGCGGUGAAAUGCUUAGAUAUCACGAAGAACUCCGAUUGCGAAGGCAGCAUACUA
rnacentral:rRNA from 1 species